rnacentral:rRNA from 2 species
AGGGGGCAAGCGUUAUCCGGAUUUACUGGGUGUAAAGGGAGCGUAGACGGUGCGCCAAGUCUGGAGUGAAAUGCCGCGGCUUAACCGCGGAACUGCUUUGGAAACUGGCGCGCUUGAGUGCGGGAGGGGUAAGCGGAAUUCCUAGUGUAGCGGUGAAAUGCGUAGAUAUUAGGAGGAACACCGGUGGCGAAGGCGGCUUACUGGACCGUAACUGACGUUGAGGCUCGAAAGCGUGGGGAGCAAACAGGAUUAGAUACCCUGGUAGUCCACGCCGUAAACGAUGAUUACUAGGUGUCGGGGCUCCAAGGAGCUCCGGUGCCGCCGCAAACGCAUUAAGUAAUCCACCUGGGGAGUACGUUCGCAAGAAUG